rnacentral:misc_RNA from 1 species
AACUUAAGUUCUCCACGUAUUCGUAAAUGCAUUAAAAAAUCACGCUCACACGGAUUCGAUGGCAAUCGUUGAGUGAAUAAAAAUCACGUGUAAAACGAAAUAUUCGAAGAAUGCAAGGAGAAUAUGUAUCAUGGCGACCGUCGAUUAAUGGCGGACUCAACUAUUUCACGAUCGUUAUUUAGAUUAUACAAUGAUAUCACAUUGGAAAAUCUUUAAAGAUAUUUUUAAUUCACUACUCAUUUAAUUAAUCGGUAUAAUAUAGAAAUAUUUUUUUCAGUUUCACAAUUAUCAUCAUUUAGAUGUUAUAUCAUGUUUUUGAGAUGAAGGAACGAAUACUGACAUGUAAUCAAAUUUUAACUUCCUAUGAGACGAGCGUAAAACUAGCCAAUCAGAGAAGAGUUUCACUACACUCCAAAGGAAUUAAUAUUUCAUUGAAUUGUAUAUAAAAAGGUUCCAUUGAUAAUGAUAAUGAUAAAAUAUGUUCCAUUGAUAUCAGAUUUAAUUAGAUUUAAUAGGGGAUUUUCAAAAAAAUUAAAUUGUGUAUUCUGGAAUGAAAGGAAUUAAUUAUGAAUAAAAAUGUCAAUGUAUUUUUAAUUGAACAUUACAAAAUUUUUUGAAUACCUAUCAAUUGUUUACAAACUUAUAUAGAAGAAGAAAGAAGAAGGAAGAAGAUUAAGUUACAGUCUACAUUCCUGUUUCUCAAAACAUCUGUUUUUCUUUAAUUUUUACAUAUUGAAUUCAUUUAUACAAUACAUUAUUGUUUAUAAUCUUACUGAAAUUUAAAAGCAAGUGUUUUCAUUUUGUAUAUUACAGAUUUAAAAAAUAAUGAGUGAUUGUAUUAAUAAACUAUGCACUGUAGUGCAUUAUUAUAGACAUGAAAAAUAUGUACAAUCUCUGUUUAAUUGUAAAAUGUUUACACAUUCCCACAUUUUUAUGAUAUAAUUCGUGUGAGACAAAUAUUUGGCAUUCAAUAUAUAUAUCUUGUUAGGCUCUAUUUUUUAAUAUUUUAAUAUCAAUAUUUAAAUAUGUACAGAAACAAGUUAGUAAAAUUUGUGUAUACUUCAUGCAUUUUAGCCCAGAUGAUGUAACAUAUCGAUUAUAAAACAUGAUAGACCAAUAAUUUAUAUUUGUAAUUAAUUAAUUGUUCUGGCGUAUAAAGAUAAUUAUAAUCCUAAGUAUAAACAAUCAAAUUUUUAUAAUCUAUAUUUUUGUAAUGUAAAUAACGUUUGAUUGUUCUAUACAAACACAUAAAUCAAAAAUUUAUAUAUGGAAGAUUUUACAAA